rnacentral:rRNA from 1 species
AUUGAACGCUGGCGGCAGGCCUAACACAUGCACGUCGAGCGGAGCGGCGGACGGGUGAGUAAUGCCUAGGAAUCUGCCUGGUAGUGGGGGAUCACGUCCGGAAACGGGCGCUAAUACCGCAUACUAUCAGAUGAGCCUAGGUCGGAUUAGCUAGUUGGUGGGGUAAAGGCCUACCAAGGCGACGAUCCGUAACUGGUCUGAGAGGAUGAUCAGUCACACUGGAACUGAGACACGGUCCAGACGCCUACGGGAGGCGGCAUUGGGGAAUAGUGGACAAGGGGGGAAAGUCUGAUCCAGCCAUGCAGCGUGUGUGAAGAAGGUCGUCGGAUUGGAGAGCACUUUAAGUUGGGAGGCGUUACUAACAGAAUAAGCACCGGCUAACUUCGUGCCAGCAGCCGCGGUAAUUC